AGUGUUAACAUCCGGGGACCCAAGAAAGAGCAAUCGAUCCUAGAUGCUAGAUCGCGGUCAAACGAGUGUGUGCUGUGCGCGUCGUUGGAUACCUGACUCUCUCACGCGGGAAGGCAAAACAGAUUUAGCCAUGUCCAACGGCAACAGCAGCAGUAAUAGUGCUUCGGCAACGAGAGGGCAUCCUCAGGCUCUGGACCUUCUCCAGGGGUCCGUCCAGGCAUCCUCACAUAUCUGAUCGCGUUGGUCCUACUGGCGUUGGUCUGGUGAUGACGAUACAGGGCCAAGGAGAUGGACACCCCCCUGAAGUCCCAGCCCACCCUGGAGGACUGAAGGAGAGGAGGGGAAGCAGUAGGGGAGGAGAAGGAGAGCAGGGGGUAAAGGAGAGAGGAGAGUGUAGAGCAGGGAGUAAAAGUGAGUUAGUUGUCCCCUUAGGGAAAUUAUUUUUCAGUUUCCUUCAUUCAUUUCUCAUCAUCAUUUCUCAUCAUAAGCACAUUAAGAACAUACAUAAGACAUUUAUAGAGUUGACAUUGAUGACGGACAUACAUUGGGGUUCGGUACAGGGGGAUACAUUGUUAAAUACAUUAUCUGUGGGGCUUUGCUUUGUUCAGGAAUGGGAUGGCGGAUGGGGGGGGGGGGGGGGGGGUCAGGCCUCUGCUGAAACAGGCUUUGUUGCAUCUUAUCUCCGUUCUAGAUGGAGAUGAGGGAGUAAAGGAGAGAGGAGAUGGAGAGGAGGGAGUGAAGAAGAGAGGAGACGGAGAGGAGGGAGUAAAGGAGAGAGGAGAGGGAGAGGAGGGAGUAAAGGAGAGAGGAGACGGAGAGGAGGGAGUAAAGGAGAGAGGAGACGGAGAGCAGGGAAUAUUGGAGAGAUGGGAAAAAAGAGGUUGUGUAGCAUCUUAUCCUAGCUUUGUUUUUUGUAUGCGGGAAUGGGUAAACCUAGCAAUUGUUAGUUAUUGGCACAUGGCUCUAUGAACAUCCUUACUGUACCGACAGCGAUACAUUGUUUAUCUUUCUUCUGACAAAUGCACUGAUUGUAAGCCGCUUUUGAUAAAAGUGUUUGAGCUCGCUGCCUUGAAUGUAAAUGUAAGGGGGGCUAUAAUUUCCCUCAACAAUGUCAAAUGCAUCUACUAUUAGUUGAAUUGUUCAACUCGUAAAGACCAUAACUUUUACAUUCAUGGCAACAAAUAAAACAAGUUUGUUGAAAAUG